rnacentral:rRNA from 1 species
CCUACGGGGGGCAGCAGUAGGGAAUUUUCGUCAAUGGGCGCAAGCCGGAACGAGCAAUGCCGCGUGAACGAGGAAGGUCUUCGGAUCGUAAAGUUCUGUUGAAGGGGAAAAAGAGCGGAGAGAGGAAAUGGUCUCCGAUUGAUAUUACCCUUCGAGGAAGUCACGGCUAACUACGUGCCAGCAGCCGCGGUAAUACGUAGGUGGCGAGCGUUAUCCGGAAUGAUUGGGCGAAAAGGGUGCGUAGGCGGCCUGCUAAGUCUGGAGUGAAAGGUACCGGCUCAACCGGUACAGGCUCUGGAAACUGGCGGGCUAGAGAGCAGGAGAGGGCGGUGGAACUCCAUGUGUAGCGGUAAAAUGCGUAGAUAUAUGGAAGAACACCAGUGGCGAAGGCGGCCGCCUGGCCUGUUACUGACGCUGAGGCACGAAAGCGUGGGGAGCAAAUAGGAUUAGAUACCCGUGUAGUC